AGCUCCAAUAGUAUAUAUUAGUGUUGUUGCAGUUAAAACGCUCGUAGUUGGAUUUUGGGACGGCUCGCGUGGUCCGCCGCAAGGUGUGCACUGCGCUGGGUGGUUCUUGCUUUCCCACAGCGGCGGCAUGCUCCUCACCGGGUGUGUCGUUCUUUUUGAUGUGGGACUUUUACUUUGAAUAAAUAAGAGUGUUCAAAGCAGGCCUUUGCUUGAAUACAUUAGCAUGGAAUAAUGAAAUAGGACUUUGGUUCUAUUUUGUUGGUUUCUAGGACCGAAGUAAUGAUUAAUAGGGAUAGUUGGGGCCAUUAGUAUUUAAUUGUCAGAGGUGAAAUUCUUGGAUUUAUGAAAGACUAACUUCUGCGAAAGCAUCUGGCAAGGAUAUUUUCAUUAAUCAAGAACG
rnacentral:rRNA from 1 species